CGAUUAAAUUUUAGGGCAAAAUCAUUUCAGCCUCCCAAAUCGCCUUAUCUCUAUUGUCGUUCUCCUCAUUUCAGCCUCCCAAAUUGCCUCCAUGUCUAUUCUCGUUCUCAACUCUAAACUUGCCCUCUCUGUGUCUUUGUAACUACAAAUUACAAAAUCUACAAGAAUCAGAAGUUCAAAACCCAUAUACUUCAAUUUCUCUAUCUGUCUGCAAGAAUCAAAAGUUCAAAACGUAUUACCUAUAUCAAAACCCAUAUCGGCAUAUCAUUUCAGAUUGUUCAAAAAAUCAAAACCCAUAUCUUUUAGUUUCCAUCGCCUGUUGUUCCAGUUCGGGUUCGCUAUUCGCAAGCUUCAGCCCGCUGUCUCUCAACUCUCAAGCUUGCCCUCAUCUCCCUCUGUAACUGCUAACUUGAUUUGAAAGACUAAUUGGUAAAUUUGGGUUGAACUUGAGUCUUGAAUAAGCUGAAAGCCCUUAUUGUGGAUUAUAUUAACAAUUUAUAGGGUUUUCAAUGGUAAAGAUGUGGUCGUGAUGAAUUCUGCGACUUCAAAGGAUUUGGAAUUGGCUAUCAGGAAAAAGGUUAAUGAUAUGGAGCAGUCCAAGAUGGGUCAUUGCCAAAUUUCUUGGCAGCAUGUUUAGGCAAAUUUUUGCCUUCAUACCAUAAUGAAAAGUUACUUGAUAACAACUAUUCGCUUCAGGAUCAUGGCAUACGUAAUAAUUCUCAGGUGUUCGUCAGUUUUCGACAUCAAGCUUGUUCGUGCUAAACAGAGACAGUCCACAUCAUUCUUCUGAUUCUACGUAGGAUUCUCUUUAUGUUUUAGUUUUGGAUUAUAUUUCUUUUCAGUUGUUUCAGUUGGGAUUUUAUUAAGGGUCCACUAGAUGGAUUCCCGAGUUGUAAUGACAUCAGAGGUUUUGGAUUUUUUUCAUUUGAAGGAUUAGUUAUUUAUUAAUUUAAGGAUUUAUUAUUUAGUUUU